rnacentral:rRNA from 1 species
GAUUUCUGGUUUGAUGCGCCUAGUCCGCCUCGUCAGAGUGUGAGUAUUGGUGCGCGUCUGCCAUCUUUCCGUUUAAAGUGGCUGGGGAUUCAUUUCCUUUGGCUACUCGAGACGGAUCAUUUACUUUGAAAAAAUUAGAGUGUUUCAAGCAGGCUUUAUGCUAUGAAUACAUUAGCAUGGAAUAAUAAUUUAGGACUUCGGUUCUAUUUUGUUGGUUUCUAGGACUGAAGUAAUGAUUGAUAGGGAUAGUUGGGGGUGCUAGUAUUCAGCGGCCAGAGGUGAAAUUCUCGGAUUCGCUGAAGACUAACUUAUGCGAAAGCAUU